rnacentral:misc_RNA from 1 species
ACAAACUUGAAAUUUGGCAGGUAGGUUCCUUAUAGGACGUAGACAUCCGCUAAGAACGGAUUUUACGAAACUCGACCCUUAAGGGGGUAAAACGGGGGUUGCAAGUUUGUAUGAAAGUCCUAUAUUUUUGAAGUAAGAGACUUGAAAUUUUAAAUCGAUGCUCUAUAGAUGAUGAGAAGGUGUCCAAAUAAUGUAUCUUUAGAAAUCAACUACCUUUUGGGGUUAAAAUGGGGGAUGAUAGCUUGACUCACUCAUCACGAAAUCUCUGAAACUAUAACACCUACAAACUUGAAAUUUAGCAGGUAGGCUCCUUAUAAAACGUAAACAUUUGCUAAGAACGGAUUUUACGAAACUCGACCCCUAAGGGUGUAAAACGGGGGUUGCAAGUUUGUAUGAAAGCCUAUGUUUUUGAAAUAAG